rnacentral:lncRNA from 1 species
GAACAAUUAAAGGUCUUUCAACCAAUAAGGAUCUAUUUUGAUAUGAAAUAUUAAGAUUCAGUUGAAAAUGUCAGUUGCUAUGGCUUUAUGAUAUAAAAAUAUGAAUUUGGAGCAAAGGUCAAAAUCUAGAACGUCCAAUUAACCUAUGACCUUGACCUCAAUUUCAAGGUCAUAAACCAAGAAUCCCAAAACAACAGACCCUAGGUUUGUAUUAUGUAUGGUUCAUGAGUAAUAUCACUUUACGCAUAAUUCUAAAUAUAAGAUGGGCAAAAACUCCCAUUUUUUGUCUACGCACCCUUCCAAUCAAAAUUUAUAAGUUACGACAUGUCGCAACUAACAAUUUAGUAAAAAUAAUUUGUGGAAAUCUUAUAAAGUUAAUGAAAAUAAGUGAAAAUAAGCCAAAAUCAAAAUUUAGAAUUUGACCUUGACCUUUGACCUUGACCUUAUUUUCAUUUUUUUGGACCAAGGAUCUUAAAUCAAAAGACCCUAGGUCUCUAUCACUUAUGGUUUACCAGCUAGAAAUGCAUAUCACUUAUAUCAUAUAUAAAAGGGGGGAUAACUCUCAUAUGGAGUCUCCGGAUAGCUUCGGUCAAAAUGAAACAGAACAUCCUGAGGAUAUAACGAGCAAUUUUGAAAAAUAAAUUUGUCGGUUUCUUAUACGGUUGCGAAGCCUUAGAGGACACAAGAAAAACAGUGUUCGGGGAGAUAACUCUUACAAGGUAAAGUUUUUUGUUACGCGGUGUCAGUUUCAGAAGCGUAUUAACUGUUCGAUAUCAUAUACCUUAUAUCUAAGCGACAUCUUGUGAAACAAAAAAACAGUGAAGGAAAAAAAAGUUGGCGGAAGAAAAAAAAUAAAAAUAAUAAUAAUAAUUAAAAACCAAUUGUUCAAAGAACAAUUGAAGGUCUUUCCACAAGUAAAGAUCUAUUUUAUUAUCAAAAUA